rnacentral:misc_RNA from 1 species
UUAAGUUCAGCGCGUAUUCCUACCUGAUCCGAGGUCAACCUUGAUAAAAAAGUUCCUCGCGGGAGGAGAAGACCGGGUCCUGGGCGCCCUCGUCCGGUACGUGCUCGGUAAAAAGCUCAGUGUACCGGGGGAACCACAGGCCGCCGUCGUUGUCUUUAGGAGGGGUCGCGGGGGAAAACCCUUCGACGACCGUCCAACAC